GCGCCUCCAUGCCCGGAUAAUGGAUUAGCAUCGAUGCUAGGUUUAUCUUCUUGAAACUUCAACCACCCGGCGUCGAUUAGGGCCUGUACUUUAUGUUUGAAGGCCAUACACCUCUCAGUUGAAUGACCCACGCCUCCCCCAUGAUAACUACACUUGGCAUCGGCAUCGUAACCUCUGGGGUAAGGAGGCUGCAUAGGCAUCAUCGGACAUAUAGCAACCAGACCC
rnacentral:lncRNA from 1 species